CCUACGGGGGGCAGCAGUGGGGAAUAUUGGGCAAUGGAGGAAACUCUGAACCAGCAACGCCGCGUGAAUGAUGAAGGUCUUCGGAUUGUAAAGCUCUUUUCUAAGGGAAGAAGAAAGUGACGGUACCUUAGGAAUAAGCUUCGGCUAACUACGUGCCAGCAGCCGCGGUAAUACGUAGGAGGCGAGCGUUCUCCGGAAUGACUGGGCGUAAAGGGGGCGUAGGUGGUUUGGCAAGUCAGUAGCGUAAGUCCGCGGCUCAACCUUGGAACUGCUAUUGAAACUGUUGGACUUGAGUGCAGGAGGGGUAAGCGGAAUUCCUAGUGUAGCGGUGGAAUGCGUAGAUAUUAGGAGGAACACCAGUGGCGAAGGCGGGUUGCUAGACUGUAACUGACACUGAGGCACGAAAGCGUGGGGAGCAAACAGGAUUAGAUACCCGGGUAGUC
rnacentral:rRNA from 1 species